AGGCAGCCUCUUUGCUGACGGCCCUAAGGUCUCACGGCAUCGGCGGCGUUAUUUUGCUCGGAUAUUAAAUUAAGCUAUGGCUCUUCGGAUCGGCGGAGAGCUCGCCUCGCUGAUGCUGAUCUAGUAAGCUUUUAGCACAUU